rnacentral:sRNA from 1 species
GGAGUAGCAAACUCUUCACAUCUAACUACCUUGA